rnacentral:sRNA from 1 species
CCAGCCAAGCCUCUUAACAAUGCUCAAAUUGGCUGGU